rfam:Methanosarcina mazei strain Goe1, complete genome.
UAGAUCGGGGUCGGCGACCCUCUGGGUAUGCCGAUUUCCCACAUAAUGGCUUCAGGUAUGACAGGAAUGAGAGCAGCAGGAGACCUUGUUGCAAGGAUGC